rnacentral:rRNA from 1 species
AUGAAGUUUUCGGAUGGAUUUAAAACAGCUUAGUGGCGGACGGGUGAGGAACGCGUGGGUAACCUGCCCUAUACAGGGGGAUAACACAGAGAAAUCUGUGCUAAAACCGCAUAAGCCUACAGUACCGCAUGGUACAGCAGGAAAAACUCAGGUGGUAUAGGAUGGGCCCGCGUCUGAUUAGCUAGUUGGAGAGGUAACGGCUCACCAAGGCGACGAUCAGUAGCCGGUCUGAGAGGAUGGACGGCCACAUUGGGACUGAGACACGGCCCAGACUCC